rnacentral:snRNA from 1 species
GGAUGUGAGGGAUCCGGCUGUGGCAUCUGUCACUCCAGUGAUGGCCAGGCCUGAUCUGGCUGAUCCGGCUGGCUAGGCAGGGGUCCCCUUUUCACUCACCACUCCAUGUGCAUCACUCCCAAAGCUGUGAGCUUGGCAGAAGAGAACACCCACCACCAAUGGAAGAGGACCAUUUCCUCAGCCAAGAGUAUACAAGUAGCUACGCUCCCCUACAAGAGCCUCCAAACAUGCUCUUGAGGGCCACAAUCAGCAGGGAAAGAGGUAAAUCAUGCACCUGACAAGGAACCAU